CGAACGACUCUCGGCAACGGAUAUCUCGGCUCUUGCAUCGAUGAAGAACGUAGCGAAAUGCGAUACUUGGUGUGAAUUGCAGAAUCCCGUGAACCAUCGAGUCUUUGAACGCAAGUUGCGCCCGAUACCUUUAGGUUGAGGGCACGUCUGCCUGGGCGUCACAC
rnacentral:rRNA from 1 species